GCUAUCCCGACUAACGGAGGGACUGACUCCACGGAGGGUGUAAGACCCGUGUGGGCGCGUGUUAAAGCUGAUUGGGGUUGGCCUCUUUUCCCUGAGAGUCGCGUUGCUCUGGCAUGCAGCGCUAAGCAGGUCGUAAACUCGAUCUAAGGCUAAAUAUUUCCACAGGCCCGAUAGCGAACAAGUACCGUGAGGGAAAGUUGAAAAGCACUCUGAAGAGAGAGUCAAAAGACCGUGAAACCGCUCAGAGUAUAAGCCCAUGGAGCUCGGAAGGCAUACCGCAGUCCUAUCACAAGGUCGGCUUGCAUGAAUGGUCCGUCAGGCAGUGGCAUUCAGUUGAUAACACGCUGACGUGCGGGGGAGGACACUGGUCGCGUAGACGGGCUUCGGCCCGUUUUGCACGGCCAGCUACUCCCUUGAGCACGGACGUUCAAGGGUGCUUGCCGUAUGCGGAAACGCCCACCACGUCUCGUUGCGUGGUCACCCACAGGCUCGACUGUCGAUCGCGUGUUCACCUCGUUCGCAAAGAUGUGUCGAUGGCUGUCCCUGGCCCCCCCUCUAGGGGUCGGGACUGACACUUGCGUUCGAGGCUACUUUUUU
rnacentral:rRNA from 1 species